UACGUAGGGUGCGAGCGUUGUCCGGAAUUAUUGGGCGUAAAGAGCUUGUAGGCGGUCUGUCGCGUCUGCUGUGAAAAUCCGGGGCUCAACCCCGGACGUGCAGUGGGUACGGGCAGACUAGAGUGUGGUAGGGGAGACUGGAAUUCCUGGUGUAGCGGUGAAAUGCGCAGAUAUCAGGAGGAACACCGAUGGCGAAGGCAGGUCGCUGGGCCGCUACUGACGCUGAGAAGCGAAAGCAUGGGGAGCGAACAGG
rnacentral:rRNA from 1 species